CACGUGCCUAACGUUUUAAAAGCCUCACGGUACUCGUGGGCGUAAGAAAAGCCUCCACUCCGGUUUUCUCAAAUCUGAGACGAGAGAUGAAGAUUUUGAGUUGCAGCAUGUAUUUGAAUCGUCGGGUGGCCCAAGUGCUGCUGACCUUCUGAGUUGAAUUCCUGCUUUGGAUUAGCCUUGCUGUUGUUGGUAUAUAUGGUUUAGACUUUAGAGGCUAUGCCUCAUUCCCAACUUUCAGGUGUUUCCUUCAGUAUGGCUUUUGCUUCUGAGUGAUUCAUGGUGCUCUAAUUAAUGGAGUCAUUGCCCGUGGCCGGAGAGGAGGAAGUCUACCCAAUCUCCUCAGCAGUAUUGUAUGAUAGACUUAUGGGCAUUCUAGGGUGAAUACGCCGGAAGUUGCUGCGUGGAGAUCACAUGAUUCAACUUAGGCAUGAGGCCCCUAUUGUAUGUGUCAUUACAAGCUAAAUUUGUUUGUGUACUAAGCCAGAUGCUCUUUUAAAGUUUGUGACAUGUAUUUGAUUAGUUUAAUCUCACUCUCGAGUGUUUAUUGUU